UCUCCCAAACUCAAUUUCUUCAAUGCCAAUAACAACAUAACCCCUGCAACUUCACCCACUUUAUUAACAACUCUAACCAUUUUCUAAGUCCAAACGGUUUCAAAAUCCAUCACACAACUAUUGAGAACGAAGAUAACUAUGUUCCUGUGCUAAGAAAAAAAAAAUGUCACAACGCAUGGCAAGAAGUUCAAGAGGCUUCAAAGUGGCAGGAAUUUUUUUGUGCACGUUUGAUGCAGCUCCAACUAAAGAUCUGAUGCUUUUGUUGAAGAUUAUUUCUAUGACUAUGAUUUCCGUGAUUAAUAAGGGUGUUCUUCGUAAUGGUGUCGUGGUUGUUGUCAAGAAAAUGAUCGGAUCUCGCAUGAGCGCUAACAUACAAUUCACCGCAGAGAUAACGACCAUUGGAAAUCUCCAGCACCGGAAUCUUGUAAAAUCAACAGGCUUUGCGGUUAAUGAGAAAAUUUUCUCAGUAUGUUGAAGACUAAGUGGGUCAUAACACAUACAUGAAUCUUUGGUUGCAUUAGAAGAAAAAACGGAUGGCUUCGAAAUGGGUUGGCCCACGUAAGGGUUGGUGAUGGUGAAAUCGUUAAGGUUUGGAUUUGGAUCUGGAUCAGAGAGAAGGAUUAGGUUACCUUGGUCAUCGAAUUUGUAGGUGGUUUCGAAAUCAACAAAAUUCGGAUCCAUAGCAUGAAGUUCGGUAGUUGUUUGAUUCUACAACAAUGGUUUUUGUGUUUGAGUGAAAUGAAACAUUAUGAAAAAGGUGUAGAUAUUUUGACAAGAAAAUAUGCACUUAGCAUCACAAUCCAAAAAGUGAUUUAAAAACAAAAAUGAGUGGAGAUUGGGUAUUGGAAGAACGAAGCCAUUUUCCCACUUUUUUCAUGUGCAUGUGACUGUGUCCUUCCUACUUUAUGCUUUGGAUCAAGCUCACAAUUUCAUGUUUUCACAUCAAUUCAACGAGUGGAGUUGGAAUCCGAUCCGAGGGAGUGCCUUUGGAGGUAGUGUGGUCGAGGUGCUCGACGAGGGGCUGUUCUUAGGUUUGUUGUGCUGCUGUUUUGAUUUGUUUGCGCAUGCCUGUGCUGCUGGCUGCAGUUUUUGGAUUUAAAGAGGUUGUGUUUGUUUGUAGUUCAGUGCUGUUUUUAGUGCUCUUUGUUCGGGCCGUUUCUGCUGUUUUAUGC